GUCUACGGCCAUACCACCCUGAACAUGCCCAGUCUCGUCUGAUCUUGGAAGCUACGCAGGAUGGGGUCUGGUUAGUACUUGGAUGGGAGACUUACGCUUGAAGCAACUUUCCCAAGAUC
rnacentral:rRNA from 1 species